rnacentral:misc_RNA from 1 species
GAUUGCUCCAAGUAUGCUUCAUUACAACAGUUGCAUGGUUGCCUCCUCUAGCUUUGAAGAGGUUUUCUAAUGUUGAUCUGCAUGGCAGAUUUGUCCCGAGGAUGGAUCGCUAAGCCUGGUGAGGAGCGGUGCUGAGGAAAACGGUUUCAAUGAAGUGCCACAUUAGGUUCAUUUCAGGUCAAAUACCUAAUAUGCACAGGAUUUCUAUGGGAUGGGGUAUUUGGGUUAUCGGGCUUGGUUA